GACGAACGCUGGCGGCGUGCCUAAUACAUGCAAGUCGAGCGCAGGAAGCUGGCGGAACUCUUCGGAGGGAAGGCAGUGGAAUGAGCGGCGGACGGGUGAGUAACACGUAAGGAACCUGCCUCAAGGAUUGGGAUAACUCCGAGAAAUCGGAGCUAAUACCGGAUAGUUCAUUGGACCGCAUGGUCCGGUGAGGAAAGGCGCUUCGGCGUCACCUUGAGAUGGCCCUGCGGUGCAUUAGCUAGUUGGUGGGGUAACGGCCCACCAAGGCGACGAUGCAUAGCCGACCUGAGAGGGUGAUCGGCCACACUGGGACUGAGACACGGCCCAGACUCCUACGGGAGGCAGCAGUAGGGAAUCUUCCACAAUGGACGAAAGUCUGAUGGAGCAACGCCGCGUGAGUGAUGAAGGUUUUCGGAUCGUAAAACUCUGUUGUAAGGGAAGAACACGUACGAGAGGUAAUGCUCGUACCUUGACGGUACCUUACGAGAAAGCCACGGCUAACUACGUGCCAGCCGCCGCCGUAA
rnacentral:rRNA from 1 species